AUCACUUUAAGUCACGUUUAAUAGGGCCAUUAAACAUAUGGCGAUAACAUCAAACUAUAAAUGACGGUGAUGGGAGUGUUUGCGUCUCGUGGCUUCAUUCAGUCGUGCAGCCCGGUGCGCGUGAGGGGGGCUGGACCAGAGGGGGAGGCUGCAGAGAGGACACACAACUCCGGCGACACCUGCAAACUAACUGCUAACAGACUCUCUCCCGGAGCCGAGACACGGAGGACACGGACGUGAAUGCGGAAUAACGAUGUAAAAUGCGUUCACGAAGCGGAUAAGAAGCUAGCAACAGAAAAACUUUAUUUUACGAUAACAAAGUGGUGCGUUUUGAGUCGAGUUUGGACCGAGAGCUGAGAGAGACGACAGCAGACCUGUUUCCUCGCUGGGUUGAAGGCGGCUGGUAGUCGGUAGGGAAGUUUAUCACCGACGUACCAGAGCAUCAGUGGUCCAUACGCUGCUCUUGCCGGGAAUCAUUUGUUUUGGUUCGUUUUGUUUCUUUCGGCUUUUUUUCCUGUGUCUAGUCCGCCCUGGCAAGUGAGCCGGUACGGGGCAAAAAAAGAGAUGGCUGUUGCCCGUCGGGCGGACUAGUUUCUUUUCUUUUCUUUUCUUUCUUUAUGUUUGUUUGUCUUUUUCUUGUCAGCUGCUUCCCCCUCAUCACCAGUACCCAGCUUACUCCCGGUCAGGCUGCCAGAGAGGGCCUAAGGUGUGCAAAGUGUGCAGCGAGUACAUUCACGCGUGUAAAUUGUGAGUGAGAACUCUUGGAGUGCAAAUUCAUAGUGUGCAGUGUGCUGUGAAAAGAUUCACGUGUGUAAACUGUGUUAACUCUUUCGAGUGCAGACCUAAGGAUUGCAGUGCAUUGGUGUUAUUGGAAACUUCCCCCCCCCCCCCUUUCUGUUUGCAUAAUUGGGAGUUAAGCUGGGACGCGGGUAAUGUGAGAGAAACUGAUUUGUAAGCUGAGCUUUUGUAAUAAAUAUUCGCUAUCACUUACCUCUGUGACUGUCCUUUUUAAAAGACUAGUACUUGAGCGGGU